rnacentral:rRNA from 1 species
GACGAACGCUGGCGGCGUGCCUAAUACAUGCAAGUAGAACGCUGAAGGAGGAGCUUGCUUCUCUGGAUGAGUUGCGAACGGGUGAGUAACGCGUAGGUAACCUGCCUGGUAGCGGGGGAUAACUAUUGGAAACGAUAGCUAAUACCGCAUAAGAGUAGAUGUUGCAUGACAUUUGCUUAAAAGGUGCAAUUGCAUCACUGCCAGAUGGACCUGCGUUGUAUUAGCUAGUUGGUGAGGUAACGGCUCACCAAGGCAACGAUACAUAGCCGACCUGAGAGGGUGAUCGGCCACACUGGGACUGAGACACGGCCCAGACUCCUACGGGAGGCAGCAGUAGGGAAUCUUCGGCAAUGGACGGAAGUCUGACCGAGCAACGCCGCGUGAGUGAAGAAGGUUUUCGGAUCGUAAAGCUCUGUUGUAAGAGAAGAACGAGUGUGAGAGUG